GAAUUAAAUCAUUAUUGUUAUUUAUAUUGGUCUAUUAAAAUAAAAAAAGUAAUUUUUUUUUUAUUAAUAAGUAUGAAUAAAUUAAUUUAAUUAUAGAUGAUUAGUAUUGAGAAAGACUUAUAUUAUUUUAUUUAAAGAAUAAUUUAAUUUUAGUACCUUGUGUAUCAGGGUUUAUUAAAAAAUUUUUAUUAAUAAUAAAUUUCUCGAACUUAAAAGAGCUAUAUAAAUAUAUUAAUUAUUGUUAAAUAAAUAUUAUACAUAUUUAUAUUGAAGUGAAACGUUAUUCGAUUUUAAAUAUAUCUAGUUUUUAAAGAAAAAAAUUUAAUUUUAUUUUUAUAAAGUAUUAGUUUUAUUUCUUAAAUUGAUAUUUGUAAAAUUUUAUAUUUUAGGGGAUGAGCUUUAAAAUAAAUUAAUAAAAAUUAUAUUGAGUACUUAGUAAGUAGAAUUAUAAGUUUUUAUCUUUGAUAGUGUUUUAUAACUGUCUAAGUUUAAAAUAUUAUUUAUAUAUAUAUUUUAUUUAGUUUAUUUAAAUAUAAAUUUUAAUUAGAAUAAUUUAGUAAUAAUGAUAAAAUUAGUAUAAUAGAUUUGUUUUAUAAAUUUAAAUAUUUUAGGUUUUAUAAAGGAAUUCGGCAAAGAUACUUUUCACCUGUUUAUCAAAAACAUGUCCUUUUGUUUAAAAUUUAAGGUCUGACCUGCUCAAUGAGUUUUAAAUAGCCGCAGUAUCUUAACUGUGCAAAGGUAGCAUAAUCAUUAGUUUUUUAAUUGAAAGCUGGAAUGAAAGGUCGAAUGAGAAAGUAGCUGUCUCUGUAAAAAUUUUAUAGAAUUUUAUUUUUAAGUAAAAAAGCUUAAAUUCUUAUAAAAGACGAGAAGACCCUAUAGAGUUUUAUACAAAAAAAUAAUGAUUUUUUAAGUAUUUUAACUUUUAUUAUUUUUUUGUAUUUGGUUGGGGUGAUUGGAAAAUUAGAUAAACUUUUCUUUAUAAUUACAUUUGUUUAUGAAAAUAUGAUCCUUUUAUUAAGAUUACAAGAUAAAAUUACCUUAGGGAUAACAGCGUAAUUUUUUUUGAGAGUUCUUAUCGAAAAAAAAGAUUGCGACCUCGAUGUUGGAUUAAAAUAAAUUUUUGGUGUAGAAGCUAAAUUGAUUAGGUCUGUUCGACCUUUAAAAUUUUACAUGAUCUGAGUUCAAACCGGUGUAAGCC
rnacentral:rRNA from 1 species